AAGGGUAUAGCUCAGUGGUAGAGUGUGCGUUUAGCGCACUCAAGGUCCUGGGUUCGAUCCCCAGUACCUCCA
rnacentral:tRNA from 1 species